rnacentral:misc_RNA from 1 species
CGACGCCGACCCGCCUCCACGCGCACACCCACACGCACGCAGAGAUACUCACCUACGCGCAUGCCAUGGCCACGAGUGCCGAAGACGGCCACGUUGCCUACGAGGCACUCACGAACGCACAAAAGGCGGAGCUCGCCGCUUGGGUGCGAAACCAGCUGGAUAGCACAAACGGCGCCUCACAGUGGCGUCGGCACACGCAGGCGAUGAUCCGCCAGGCUAUGGCGCGCAGAGCCGCGUCCGGUGCACCACUCGACGCCGGCGACAUUCUUGAAGAGAUCAUGCCGCACGUACGCUCUGCUAUCCCGCCAGAGGUGCGCGAAGGCCUCUUCCGCCGCGUGACAGCGCAGCUGCACUUGUAAAACGCAGAGCCCAUGCGCAUCCCUCGCAGUCCGAUUCAUGCCAUGUCUGCUAGCUACAGGCACACCGAUACGGUAGCUGCAGAGCCCACGCAAAUCACGUUACAUCCGGAUGAGGACGUAAAACAGUGCACAAGGAAAAGCAGAGCAAACAUCUGUCGACGGCGCACGAAGCAGUGCAACACCAGAGAAGCGCAAGCCACCAAGUCCCUCACCCAGCGUACCGCCUCCCUUCUUGGUCUUUGGCAUGCAGGCGAUCUCCUCGUGAGCGGCGACGUCGGCGUGCCCGUCAGCGCCUGUUCUCUCUCUGUCGCCCCUGUGUCUACACACGUAUGUAUGCACGCCGCAUUCCUCAACGACUUCGCCUAUUUCUUGCCUCGCUCUCCAACCUCCUUUCUCUGUUUCUCUUCGGCCCCCCUCCCCGCCCAUCCGAGCGCCGCUUGCGUGCGCGUGUACCACAG